CUUUUUUUUUUUUUUUUUUUUUUUUGACACAGAGUCUCACUCCAUCACCCAGGCUGGAGUGCAGUGGCAUGAUCUCAGUUCACUGCAACCUUCGCUUCAUGGGUUCAAGCAAUUCUCAUGCCUCAGCCUCCCAAAAGAUUUCCAUGUAAGGUGCUUGCAAAGGGAAAAAUAACAACUUGUGUGGUCAAAAAGUUUAGAAACCCCUGGUCUAAAUGGCGUUAGCAGGACUUAUCAGAGCCUUUAUUAUAACAGCACACAGUCCCAAAGGUAGAUCCUUAUGGUAUUAUCUUAGUCUAUUCAGACUGCUAUAAGAGAAUGCCAUAGGUUGUGUGGCUUACAAACAGCAGACAUUUAUUUCUCACGGUUCUCUCCAGAAGAUCUGGGAAGUCCCAGAUCAAGGCACAGGCAGAUUCAGUGUCUGGGGAAGGCCUUCUUCCUAGUUCAUAGACAGCCCUC
rnacentral:lncRNA from 1 species